rnacentral:misc_RNA from 1 species
GCCAGCCCGCUAGACGAAGCGAGUAGUGGUGGCCUCGGCAAAGCUCGUCAGACGCCCAGCCGACGCUGUCACAGGCGGUUACGUAAGAGAGAAAGCGAACUGGCUCGCCGCGAUAGAGCGCUCGCCCCGUCGCCACAGCCACUCCGCAGUCAACGUCCGUGCCGAACGCACCACUCGUCGCAAGACGCCCUGGAAGCGGACUCGUUCGCAGUGCUCGCUUUGCCGUCGCCGUUCGGGCAAAGCCGCCCUCCGUAGUCAUGGCACCCGAAGCGGCCGUGUUCAGCUCGUGCGAAGCACCGGAAUCAUCGUGCGAAGAGAAGAAACAGCAGGACACGGUCUCGACCGAGGCCGCCGACGAGGAAGACGACUCGGUGAUGUCGUGCUGCGAGAUGUCGUGCGAGGCCGACAAGGACCCGGAUGACGCCAAGCCCUCGCGCAUCGUGGACCUGUUCGACAGUGCCACCGAGUGCGUGUACGGCCUGUUCUUCUGCGGCUACCGCAGCCUCUUCCUGGACACGUACCAGUUCGAGGACUUCAUCUUCUACACGCUGUGGAUGCUGUGCCUGCACUUCUGCAUCAACGAGAAGAUGCCCAACGACUCCCGCCACUACACCUGAAGGGUUGCGCGCGUGUGUGUGUGUGUAUGUGGCUCGGAACAAACGACACCCCGACCCAGUGACCAUGCCAAAGAUGACCUGUGUGAUAGGACAGACAGUGACACUAUCUGUGGACU